AAUAAGAUCAUUUUUUAGCUUUUAGAUACAAUACCUUGAUUCUUGUCUUAUUUGAAAAAUUUUUGCGAUUAAUAUUUUUACUGUUACAAAAUGAUAAAACAUGAAUAGUAAUUUAUGCGUGACUAAUUUUUUAAAACUUUUUUGCAAAUGUUUUAAAUAAGACUAAUGGUUAAAUAUUAGACACGAAAAUCGAAAAAUAAAGUUAUU
rnacentral:pre_miRNA from 1 species